rnacentral:lncRNA from 1 species
CAUAUUCUCAAAAGAGAAGAUGAAGUUGUAGGUUGGAGAUCCUGCAUCUAGGAGUGGGGAUGCUCUUGUUACUCAUGGUGAUCGACGGAGGGGUAGAUCGAAUGUGAAGUACAGCAAUGUGUAUUGUUAUUACUGCAAGAGGAAAGGACACAUCAAGAAAGAUUGCGACAAGUUGCAAGGUAAAGGUGAUUUACAUGCAAAUCAUGUGGGGCAAUCAGGUAAUUCGAACGAGACUAAUAUUGCUGAAAAUUUUUGUGAUGAUGGAGAUGUGAUGUUGGCUAUAUCUGACGGGGAAUCCAAGCCUGAGGAGUGGAUUCUGGAUUCUGCAUGUUCGUAUCAUAUGUGUCCCAAUAGGGCUUUGUUUCAAACAUAUGAGAUGGUGAAGCAAAGCGGAGUUGUCAUGGGAAACAACCAAUUUUGCCGAGUUGCAGGAAUUGGUCGAGUCAGAUUGAGGCUACAGGAUGGAACAGUGAGGACACUUGAUCAGGUUCGCCAUGUUCCAGAUUUGACAAAGAAUCUCAUAUCACUGAAUACCUUGGAUGAAAAAGGGUACAAAUUUUCUGGUGGAGGUGGAGUCUUGAAGGUUCAAAGGGGUCCAGGUUGUACUGGAGGGAUGGAGGAAAUCCCAGUUGUACAUCUUGUAGGGGAGCGCAUAACCAGUUUAGAGACAUUUGGACAAGUUCAGUACCGUGGUGGACAUUCAAUUUGGUACAGUACCUCUCGGGUUUGGCUCUGGGUCAAUUAAGAACUUUGCUCAAGGGAGUGUUGGUGAUUUCGCUUUGCCACCAAUUUUAGCAAGUACACUGUGUUCUUGUAAUGCCAAUGGACUCAUGGAGCGUAGGUACAGUUUUGGAAAUGUCUAUAAUGCUUUAGAAAUCAUUGAAGGUGACAAUAUUGGCAAGGGACCUUUUGAUUGUGCAUUUGGUGUGAUUUUUGCUACUGGAUGUGCUUCGACCCUGUCCAGUGAUUGUUAAUUCGAUGAGGAAUUUUGGGAACCCAGGUUUGGGUUUGGGUUUAGGUUCGGGUGUCGCUUGUGGACGCCGGGCGGGGGAACGUGUUAUCGUGGAGAGUUUGGUUAUUGCGUUGGGGAGAUUGGUCAGUUCAUUCUGAUGCAGACGGAUUAUUUCUCAAGGUGGAGAAAUUUUGGAGCUUCGUUCGUUGCCCCGAAAUUUGAGUCAAGAUGGAGAUUGUUAGAAGUGUGACUCAAAUAGGAGUCUAAAUUGUAUUAGAUUUCUUAAAUUUUUUGGGACUCUUUUAGGGUUAGAUUUU